rnacentral:lncRNA from 1 species
GGGGGUCCGAACUUACAACCUCAGUGUUGUCCUUUUGAUGAUAAAGGAGAGAUGUAAACCCGCUAAUAAAUUCAUGCUCACCUUUGGCAUGUCUUAAUCAAUUUAAAUAAGUGUUACAAAUUUAUUUGAUUACCAAUGAUCAAUGAAUAUGAGGUCAUGGUUAGAUGAACACGGCCAGAGGGUCAUGUACAUCUUCAAAUUAAAAAA